rnacentral:rRNA from 1 species
AUUGAACGCUGGCGGCAUGCUUUACACAUGCAGGUCGAACGGCAGCGCGGGCUUCGGCCUGGCGGCGAGUGGCGAACGGGUGAGUAAUACAUCGGAACGUGCCCAGUAGUGGGGGAUAGCUCGGCGAAAGCCGGAUUAAUACCGCAUACGACCUGAGGGUGAAAGCGGGGGAUCUUCGGACCUCGCGCUAUUGGCGCGGCCGAUGGCAGAUUAGCUAGGUGGUGGGGUAAAGGCCUACCAAGGCGACGAUCUGUAGCUGGUCUGAGAGGACGACCAGCCACACUGGGACUGAGACACGGCCCAGACUCCUACGGGAGGCAGCAGUGGGGAAUUUUGGCCAAUGCGCGAAAGCCUGAUCCAGCACUGCCGCGUGUGUGAUGAAGGCCUUCGGGUUGUAAAGCACUUUUGGCGGGAACGAAAAGGACUGUGCCAAUACCACGGUUCGAUGACGGUACCCGCAGAAUAAGCACCGGCUAACUACGUG